rnacentral:misc_RNA from 1 species
GAGUUGUAAUUUUCCUUCUUAAUCUCUCAACUGUUACCAUCUCUUUCUUUCUUUCUUUCUUUCCCAUUUUGUGCGCAUACAUAGGUAUUCGCCUUUUUUUUUUAGUCAAAAUAAGAUAUUGUAUACAUAUAAUUAAUAGUGAGAAUUAAAGGUGCCAUCUUAGUGGACAGAUAUUUUUUCAGAAAGGUUUAUAGUCACCUUUAACAAAGAAUGAAGGAGAGUGGUAGAAAACAAGGUGCACUCUCCCCAUGCGCAGCUUGCAAGCUUCUCCGCCGGAGAUGUGCUCACGACUGUGUCUUUGCUCCAUAUUUUCCAGCCGAUGAGCCUCAGAAGUUUGCCAGUGUUCACAAGGUAUUUGGGGCAAGUAACGUCAACAAAAUGUUACAGGAAUUACCUGAGCAUCAACGAAGU